UGGAUCAGUGAUGACUACUGGUUGUGUGAUGUUAUGAGUGAAAUACAAUAAAUACAUAUUUGGAAUUCUGAUGUCCAU